rnacentral:rRNA from 1 species
UACACACCGCCCGUCACAUCACGAAAGUGGGUUGUACUAGAAGUCCGUGGGCCGACCCCCAAAAAGGGAGGCAGCGGCCCAAGGUAUGACUCAUGAUUGGGGUG